rnacentral:rRNA from 1 species
GUCUCUGCGCGGAAAAUUUAACGGGGCUAAGAUACAAACCGAAGCUUAGGCUGCACGUAAGUGCGGGGUAGGGGAGCGUUGUGUAAGCGGAGAAACAGUAGCGUAAGCGGCUGUGGAGUUUACAGAAGUGAGAAUGCCGGAAUGAGUAGCGCGAAUGUGGUGAGAAUCCACAUGGCCGGAAACCUCAGGUUUUUGGAGGAAGGUUCGUCCGCUCCAAGUUAGGCGGGAGCUAAGGUCAGGCCGAAAGGCGUAGCCGAUGCACAGACGGUAGAGAUUCCGUCCCCACCGAAAGAUUUAAGCACAGGGACACUUUUUGAAGGUCGGAGCCAGGUGUUGGUUCUGGUAGUGAUCGAGGGAAAUAUAGUACCGAAGUCCGGCUGGAAGAGAGGCGAGAAAAGCUGUGUGUAUAUCUAAGGUGCCCGUACCGCAAACCGACACAGGUAGGUAGGAAGAAGAUUCUAAGGCCAACGGGAGAAGGGUUGUUAAGGAACUCGGCAAGUUGACCCCGUAACUUCGGAAUAAGGGGUGCUCACGAGAGUGAGCCGCAGAGAAUAGGCCCAGGCAACUGUUUACCAAAAACACAGGUUUGUGCUAAAUCGAAAGAUGACGUAUACGAGCUGACGCCUGCCCGGUGCUGGAAGGUUAAGAGGAGAUGUGCAAGCAUUGAAUCGAAGCCCCAGUGAACGGCGGCCGUAACUAUAACGGUCCUAAGGUAGCGAAAUUCCUUGUCAGGUAAGUUCUGACCCGCAUGAAAGGCGUAAUGAUUUGGGCACUGUCUCAACAGCCCGCCCGGCGAAAUUGUAGUACCGGUGAAGAUGCCGGUUACCCGCGACAAGACGGAAAGACCCCAUGGAGCUUUACUGUAGCCUGAUAUUGGGUUUCGGUGUUGCAUGCACAGGAUAGAUGGGACGCUGGGAAAGAAGCGCUUUGGCGUUUCCGGAGCGGACGUUGGGAUACCAUCCUUGCGACAUUGGAAUUCUAACCUGCGCCUCUGAAUCGAGGCGGGGGACAUUGUCAGGUGGGCAGUUUGACUGGGGCGGUCGCCUCCUAAAAAGUAGCGGAGGCGUUCAAAGGUUCGUUCGAUCUGGACGGAAACCAGAUGAUUGAGUGCAAACGCAUAAACGAGCCUGACUGCGAGACUGACGGGUCGAGCAGAGACGAAAGUCGGAGUUAGUGAUCCGGUGGUAUGUGAGUGGAAAUGCCAUCGCUCAACGGAUAAAAGUUACCCUGGGGAUAACAGGCUGAUCUCCCCCAAGAGUCCACAUCGACGGGGAGGUUUGGCACCUCGAUGUCGGCUCAUCGCAUCCUGGGGCUGUAUUCGGUCCCAAGGGUUUGGCUGUUCGCCAAUUAAAGCGGUACGCGAGCUGGGUUCAGAACGUCGUGAGACAGUUCGGUCCCUAUCUGUCGUGGGCGCAGGAUAUUUGAAAGGCGCUGUCCCUAGUACGAGAGGACCGGGAUGGACGAACCUCUGGUGCACCAGUUGUCACGCCAGUGGCACAGCUGGGCAGCUAUGUUCGGAUCGGAUAAACGCUGAAAGCAUCUAAGCGUGAAGCCGGCCUUAAGAUAAGAUAUCCCACUGAGUCAAUCAGGUAAGACCCCUUGAAGACUACAAGGUUGAUAGGCACACAGUGUAAGCGGAGUGAUCCGUUCAGCUAGCGUGUACUAAUAGGUCGAGGGCUUGACCC